GAUGAACGCUGGCGGCGUGCUUAACACAUGCAAGUCGAACGGAAAGGCCUCUUUCGGGUGGUAUUCGAGUGGCGAACGGGUGAGUAACACGUGAGUACCUUGCCCUUGACUUUUGGAUAACUUAAGGAAUCUGGGGCUAAAACCUAAUAGCGGCUCCUGCUGCAGGGUGGGGGCUGGAAAGUUUCGGCGGUUGGGGAUGGAAUGGCGGCGUAUCAGCUUGUUGGUGGGGUAGUGGCUUACCACGGCGUUGACGGGUAGCCGGCCUGUGAGGGUGACCGGCCGUAUUGGGACUUAGGUACGGCCCAGACUCCUACGGGAGGCAGCAGGGGGGAAUAUUGCACAAUGGGUGGAAGCCUGAUGCAGCAAGGCCGUGUGCGGGAUGACGGCCUUCUGGUUGUAAACCGCUUUCGCUCAUGACGAAGCUUUGUGUGACGGUAGUGGGUAAAGAAGCACCGGCUAACUACGUG
rnacentral:rRNA from 1 species